rnacentral:rRNA from 1 species
AAAUUGAAGAGUUUGAUCAUGGCUCAGAUUGAACGCUGGCGGCAGGCCUAACACAUGCAAGUCGAACGGUAACAGGAAGCAGCUUGCUGCUUCGCUGACGAGUGGCGGACGGGUGAGUAAUGUCUGGGAAACUGCCUGAUGGAGGGGGAUAACUACUGGAAACGGUAGCUAAUACCGCAUAACGUCGCAAGACCAAAGAGGGGGACCUUCGGGCCUCUUGCCAUCGGAUGUGCCCAGAUGGGAUUAGCUAGUAGGUGGGGUAACGGCUCACCUAGGCGACGAUCCCUAGCUGGUCUGAGAGGAUGACCAGCCACACUGGAACUGAGACACGGUCCAGACUCCUACGGGAGGCAGCAGUGGGGAAUAUUGCACAAUGGGCGCAAGCCUGAUGCAGCCAUGCCGCGUGUAUGAAGAAGGCCUUCGGGUUGUAAAGUACUUUCAGCGGGGAGGAAGGCGAUAAGGUUAAUAACCUUGUCGAUUGACGUUACCCGCAGAAGAAGCACCGGCUAACUCCGUGCCAGCAGCCGCGGUAAUACGGAGGGUGCAAGCGUUAAUCGGAAUUACUGGGCGUAAAGCGCACGCAGGC